CAAUACCUGUCUUAUUUCAGACUGGAGCAUAUCCUAUGCAUGUAGGCUUUCAUGCCAGAUUUUAAUGCCCUUGCAUUUAGGUCUACUGCAUACAAAUAACUGAAAUAUUUUCAAAUGGACCUGAAGUUCUUCAACUGCCUAAGCUGCUGACAAGUGAAUCCUGACAGCUUUUUCUCCAUCAUUGCGAAUGCUGCAACAAGCCAAAACAGGUUUUGCAUUUUCUCAGGGAUAUCCCAAAGAGUAAAAGAGUUGUGAAGGAACUGUUAUUUAGUGGGAGAAAGAUUGCCUCCCAUAUUUCUGCCUCUUGUGUUGGAAGGUCAGCUUUCCAACCCUGCAGACCUUAGCUGCUGUGAUGGGUUUUCAUAAGUGUACUCGAAAGAAAAGUGACAAGAACACAGUGAGACAGCUGUGGAGUAUAGUAGAAGUGAAAAGAAAAUAUACAUGUUUAUGAACUUUCCUGAACUAAGUCCUUUUGCCAGACCACUCCAGACAGGAAGAAGCUGGCACAGUGGUAAUCUGCAUCUGCAGCUUCUGAGAGGAGAAAAAUGCUUCUUUGGCAAAUGGAGCAAGAAACCUAGAAAAUUAAGGAUUAAUAUGUUCAUUUAUAGAGAAGCAGUGAGAACACAGUAACAUGAAAUGCAACCAAGGAGGAUGCAUUCAGAAGACAAAAGAGCCCUGGAAGGGAAGGUACUUUGCUUUGUUCAGAAUGCAAACUAUAACAGGCAGUUCUGGGAAUUGGUGAGCUGCACAGCUGAAUGUUAAAAGAAAUUAGUUCAUACCACAAGAAAUACACAAUCUGUGCCUUGAAAACCUGAAGGUACUUUCCUUUUCUUUUCUGCCAGGAGAGGAGUGGAACACUGGAUCUACUUGAAACACUGCUGAAUAUGCUUGUUACUUCAGAGAUGUGAAAAGAGAAGACCUCAUCCGUAGUUGUCUCUGCAGAGCAUUUGCAAAGAAGUCAGCAUGCACUGACAACUGACGAAGUGAAUUGUCAGCCUGCUAAGCCAGAUGUAACAUGCUGAGACCUAGGCAAUGCUUUGCUUUCUGGGUCACCUCGGGCUCUGCACCAGGGAGAAGCUGCUGGAGAAGGCUCUGCAGCACUCUGUGAUGAUAAGCCCAUCGCCCCUCUGCAGGGAGAGGUUGGGGGAGGAGACAGAAGGGAUACGUGGGGGAAAUGCACUUAUCUUGGCCACAGUAACAUGAAGGGU